CUGAGUUUUGAAAGGGGCUGUAGCUGGUCUUUUUGAUAAAGACAUGUGCACGCUCUGCUCAUCCACUCUUUUAAACUUAUGUGCACCUGUGUAGAGUUUGGUGAAUUUUUUGGUCGAAAGACUAAUAAAAUCCUGCUCUAUGUUUUUAUAUAAACGUUUGAGUCAUAGAAUGUUAUAUUGUGUUUUUAACGCAUUAUAAUA
rnacentral:misc_RNA from 1 species